rnacentral:rRNA from 1 species
AUUGAACGCUAGCGGGAUGCCUUACACAUGCAAGUCGAACGGAGUGGCGAACGGGUGAGUAAUGUAUCGGAACGUGCCCAGUAGCGGGGGAUAACUACGCGAAAGCGUAGCUAAUACCGCAUACUAUUGAACCGGCCGUUAUGGGAUUAGCUAGUUGGUGGGGUAACGGCUCACAAAGGCGACGAUCCGAAGCUGGUUUGAGAGGACGACCAGCCCCACUGGGACUGAGACACGGCCCAGACUCCUACGGGAGGCAGCAGUGGGGAAUUUUGGACAAUGGGGGAAACCCUGAUCCAGCCAUCCCGCGUGUGCGAUGAAGGCCUUCGGGUUGUAAAGCACUUUUGGCAGGAAAGCGGUACCUGCAGAAUAAGCACCGGCUAACUACGUGCCAGCCGCCGCGGUAAUUC